CCUACGGGUGGCAGCAGUGGGGAAUAUUGCACAAUGGGGGAAACCCUGAUGCAGCGACGCCGCGUGAGUGAAGAAGUAAUUCGUUACGUAAAGCUCUAUCAGCAGGGAAGAAACACUGACCUUACGGUCAGCAGACGGUACCUGAGUAAGAAGCCCCGGCUAACUACGUUCCAGCAGCCGCGGUAAUACGUAGGGGGCAAGCGUUAUCCGGAUUUACUGGGUGUAAAGGGAGCGUAGACGGUUCGCCAAGUCUGGAGUGAAAUGCCUCAGCUUAACUGCGGAACAGCUGUGGAGACUGGCGAACUAGAGUGCGGGAGGGGUACGCGGAGUUCCUAGUGUAGCGGUGAAAUGCGUAGAUAUUAGGAGGAACACCGGUGGCGAAGGCGGCUUACUGGACCGUAACUGACGUUGAGGCUCGAAAGUGUGGGGAGCAAACAGGAUGAGAUACCCCAGUAGUC
rnacentral:rRNA from 1 species